AAACUAAAGACGGUGUUAAGGACAGGCAUUAAAGUGAAAGAAAGAAGAAAACUAAUGAUUAACAAGGAGCCGAUUGUAAUAAAUAAAAAAAUAAAGGACAAAAAUGAAAAAUGGAGUGAAGGCCCAAACAAAAGGAAUGGUGUGCAAUUAUUAAAGUAAGGGUAAACUUUAAAUACCAACCUCGUGGUUUUGCACUUUCUUAUUUUAGUGCUAUGUGGUUUAAAGUGUAUCAUGUUAGUACCAUGUGGUUUCAUUUUUAUCUUUUCGUCAGCUUCUCCGUUAAUAUUUCGUUAAAUUAUAUACAAAAAAACUUCAAAUAUUCUACCUAAUUUUAUCGAAUAUUCACUUUAAUACCCUUUGAUUUUAACUUUGUUAUAGAUUUAAUAAAAAAAUUAGUAAAAUAAAUAAUAAAAAGAUAAAAAUAAAACCACAACAUGCUAAAUUGAUACAGUUUAAACUAUAGGAUACUAAAGUAAGAACGUAUGAAACUACAA
rnacentral:lncRNA from 1 species